CCAAAUUUCACAUCUCAUUCUUUCCAUCAUAUAAAACACAUCUGCCCAAGAGUAGUUCAUCUUCAGUUUUCAGAAAGCGAGGAAGAGAAGGUAUUUUUGCAUCAUUUCUCAUCUGAGCAGGAUACAAUCCGCAGGUCCUAGCUGACAACGUCUCGGAUAAAGGACAAUUUAUUCUCAGGGACAUGGCAGAUAUGGAGCCUCUGAUCAUUCUCCUUCUGCUAGCAGGACUAGCAGGGAAGACAUCACUGACAUACACAACAGCAAUGGCUACUCCCACAACAACCACAACUGCUCCAACAACAACCACAGCUGCUCCAACAACAACCACAGCUACUCCCACAACAACCACA
ensembl:lncRNA